rnacentral:rRNA from 1 species
GACGAACGCUGGCGGCGUGCUUAACACAUGCAAGUCGAACGGAAAGGCCCUGCUUUUGUGGGGUGCUCGAGUGGCGAACGGGUGAGUAACACGUGAGUAACCUGCCCUUGACUUUGGGAUAAUUUCAGGAAACUGGGGCUAAUACCGGAUAGGAGCUCCUGCUGCAUGGUGGGGGUUGGAAAGUUUCGGCGGUUGGGGAUGGACUCGCGGCUUAUCAGCUUGUUGGUGGGGUAGUGGCUUACCAAGGCUUUGACGGGUAGCCGGCCUGAGAGGGUGACCGGCCACAUUGGGACUGAGAUACGGCCCAGACUCCUACGGGAGGCAGCAGUGGGGAAUAUUGCACAAUGGGCGGAAGCCUGAUGCAGCAACGCCGCGUGCGGGAUGACGGCCUUCGGGUUGUAAACCGCUUUCGCCUGUGACGAAGCGUGAGUGACGGUAAUGGGUAAAGAAGCACCGGCUAACUACGUGCCAGCAGCCGCGGUGAUACGUAGGGUGCGAGCGUUGUCCGGAUUUAUUGGGCGUAAAGGGCUCGUAGGUGGUUGAUCGCGUCGGAAGUGUAAUCUUGGGGCUUAACCCUGAGCGUGCUUUCGAUACGGGUUGACUUGAGGAAGGUAGGGGAGAAUGGAAUUCCUGGUGGAGCGGUGGAAUGCGCAGAUAUCAGGAGGAACACCAGUGGCGAAGGCGGUUCUCUGGGCCUUUCCUGACGCUGAGGAGCGAAAGCGUGGGGAGCGAACAGGCUUAGAUACCCUGGUAGUCCACGCUGUAAACGGUGGGUACUAGGUGUGGGGUCCAUUCCACGGGUUCCGUGCCGUAGCUAACGCUUUAAGUACCCCGCCUGGGGAGUACGGCCGCAAGGCUAAAACUCAAAGGAAUUGACGGGGCCCCGCACAAGCGGCGGAGCAUGCGGAUUAAUUCGAUGCAACGCGUAGAACCUUACCUGGGUUUGACAUGGAUCGGGAGUGCUCAGAGAUGGGUGUGCCUCUUUUGGGGUCGGUUCACAGGUGGUGCAUGCCUGUCGUCAGCUCGUGUCGUGAGAUGUUGGGUUAAGUCCCGCAACGAGCGCAACCCUUGUUCACUGUUGCCAGCACGUUAUGGUGGGGACUCAGUGGAGACCGCCGGGGUCAACUCGGAGGAAGGUGGGGAUGACGUCAAGUCAUCAUGCCCCUUAUGUCCAGGGCUUCACGCAUGCUACAAUGGCUGGUACAGAGAGUGGCGAGCCUGUGAGGGUGAGCGAAUCUCGGAAAGCCGGUCUCAGUUCGGAUUGGGGUCUGCAACUCGACCUCAUGAAGUCGGAGUCGCUAGUAAUCGCAGAUCAGCAACGCUGCGGUGAAUACGUUCCCGGG